rnacentral:rRNA from 1 species
GACGAACGCUGGCGGCGUGCUUAACACAUGCCAGUCGAACGGAAAGGCCCUGCUUUUGUGGGGUGCUCUAGUGGCGAACGUGUGAGUAACACGUGAGUAACCUGCCCUUGACUUUGGUAUAACUUCAGGAAACUGGGGCUAAUACCGGAUAGGAGCUCCUGCUGCAUGGUGGUGGUUGGAAAGUUUCGGCGGUUGGGUAUUGACUAGCGGCUUAUCAGCUUUUUGGUUGGGUAGUUGCUUACCAAGGCUUUGACGGGUAGCCGGCCUGAGAGGGUGACCGGAAAAAUUGGGACUGAGAUACGGACCAGACUGCUACGGGAGGCAGCAGUGGGGAAUAUUGCAAAAUGGGCGGAAGCCUGAUGCAGCAACGCGGCGUGCGGGAUGACGGCCUUCGGGUUGUAAACCGCUUUCGCCUGUGACGAAGCGUGAGUGACGGUAAUGGGUAAAGAAGCACCGGCUAACUACGUG